UAGGGAAUCUUCGGCAAUGGGGGGAACCCUGACCGAGCAACGCCGCGUGAGUGAAGAAGGUUUUCGGAUCGUAAAGCUCUGUUGUUAAGGAAGUACGAGUGUGAGAAUGGAAAGUUCAUACUGUGACGGUACUUAACCAGAAAGGGACGGCUAACUACGUGCCAGCAGCCGCGGUAAUACGUAGGUCCCGAGCGUUGUCCGGAUUUAUUGGGCGUAAAGCGAGCGCAGGCGGUUAGAUAAGUCUGAAGUUAAAGGCAGUGGCUCAACCAUUGUAGGCUUUGGAAACUGUUUAACUUGAGUGCAGAAGGGGAGAGUGGAAUUCCAUGUGUAGCGGUGAAAUGCGUAGAUAUAUGGAGGAACACCGGUGGCGAAAGCGGCUCUCUGGUCUGUAACUGACGCUGAGGCUCGAAAGCGUGGGGAGCGAACAGG
rnacentral:rRNA from 1 species